rnacentral:ncRNA from 1 species
CUUGAGGUGCCGCUUUUCUAGGGAAGCGGAGAAUUGGGAAGCCGGUCGGAAACCCGGCGCUGCCCCCGCAACGGUAGUGGAGUGAAACACGGCAUAACAGCCACUGGGUCACAACCCCGGGAAGGCGUCGUGACAGCCGAUACGGCAACUCCAGAGCCCGGAAACCAGCCUCGGUAC